rnacentral:lncRNA from 1 species
UAUCAAAUAACGAACCUGAGUUUUGUUGGGUAGAUUGUGAUUGAGGUUGAGAUUGUGCGAAUGGCCUUUGAUAUAUCCCCGUGGGUGGCUGUCAAAAUCCUCCUUGAUGUUGAGGUUGUUGAUGCUCCCUCCACUUGAAGUUUGGGUGAUCUCUCCAUCCCGGAUUGUAUGUAUUUGAGUAUAGAUCAUUCCUUUGCUAAUUUUGCCCUUGAUAACCUAUGGCAUUGGCACUUUCCCAUCCUCUAUUCUCUAUCAAUUAAGGGCAUUGAUCAUUGAGGUGCCCUUGCAUAGAGCACACGCCACAUACACUUGGUGUAAUUCCUUGCACUUUGCAUCCUUCGGCAACCUGAGAUACAAGCAUAGUGAGGUUAGCUAAUUGAGAUUGAAUUUCGGCUAUUGAACUUACCCUAUGGACUUGCUGCCAUGGGAUGUCUCUUUGUCCAACACCUUCGUAUUGUUGUGCAUUCAAGGCUUGGUUUGCAAUUAAGAUCUUGGUAGCCAUCGGUGUUUUGUCAACCAAAACACCCAUUGCCGAGGCAUUUAACAUUUGUCUCUCAAUUGGAAGGAGUCCCUCAUAGAAAUAUUGCAGCAAAAGUUCUUCCUUCAUUUGAUGUUGAGGGCACGAGGCAACUAGAGCCUUGAAACGGUCAUAAUAUGCUAGAAAGGAUUCACCUUGGCUUUAUUAAAUGUCACUAAUCUUCUUCCUCAAAAGAAUGACUCUCGAAGUUGGGAAUAAUUUCUCUAAGAAUGCCCUCUUCAUGCUUUCCCAAGAAGUGACGGUUCCAGGUGCUAAUUCAUAGAGCCAAUCUUUAGCCUUGUCCAUAAGAGAGAAUGGAAAGGUUUUCAUCUUCAAAAUAUUCCCAUCGACAUUGAUGGGUGUCAUGCUCAAACAUACCACUUCAAACUCCUUAAGAUGCUUGUUUGGAUCUUCCAUGGACAACCCAUGGUAUUUGGGAAUGUGAUGCAACAAGCUAGACUUCAAUUCGAACUCAUCGACCUUUCCUUAGGUUGCCACGGGGUAUUGAAUGCAAAGGUGCACGACAUUGUCCAACCCCGAGGCUGAAAGUUCUUUGAUCGUACGAUUGUCCGCUACCAUGACUUGCUCUUCUUCUUCUUUUUCCUCAAAUUCAGAUUCGGCAUCUGAACUUGAACUAGGUGGAUUAGGUUCUGGUUGCUUCCUCUUUCUUCUGAAAGUUUUUUCAAAAUCGUCGUCGAACUCCAAGAUGUUUGCACUAAUAAGUUGAGAACUACGAGUCAUAAACUAGUACUUGAAACAAGAAAAAAAAACGACUCAACAACCAAGUGAAGGGUACGGUAGAAACACACACAAACACACUUUGACACUAAAUUAAAACACAAAGACACACGACAUAAACAAGGGAGAUUAGCAAGUUUGCUAAUCCCCGGCAAUGGCGCCAAAAUUUGAUGUGAAAUUUAACUAGCACUCAAAUUAAACUCUCUUAUUGACAAUUGUAGUAAAGAUGUAGGUAAGGAUCGUUCUAGGUAGGGGAUUAGGAGAGAUUGCUAAUCUACUUAAAGUGACUCAAAAACACUAAACUAGGCUUGAAAACACUUAGACUCAAAGAACUCAAAACAAACUAAAAAGACUCAAAAUAGCACAAAACAAUCAAAUAGACUCAAACUAGACACUAGAGGGUAAUUGGACGAAAAUUGAUUUUAACUUGACUCAAAACACUUAAAAACACUAAUUGGACAGAUUCUAACUAACUUGACACAGAGAAGUAAAGGGGAUUGGGUUUUUGAUGAAUUUAAAGUAAAGACAAGUAAAUUAAAAACUUAAGCAAAUUUAGCACGAAUUUGGGGGGAAAUAUGGGUGAUUGGCUAGCUAGAAGGUUUUUCUCCACACAUGACACACUUGCAUACAAAUCGAUUUCCAGUUGCUUUUCCAAUAAACCAUGAACCUCAACGCCCCAGGUUAACCGUGAACAGCACUAAUUAACCCUCAGAUUUUCCUUAAGUCAUUGAAUUUGAUGGAUAAUGCAUCGACAACCAAAUUAUUCUUCAAUAGUUCCCUAAAUGACAACAUAAUAGAGAUACAAUCAAAGAUCAUUAAGCUUUUUGAAAAUCAUAAGCAUUGACAAGGCAUUCGUAACUAUGACAGCAUGAUACUCCAGCCAGGAAUUCACUUAACACGAUUGUGAUUAGCAACCUCCACUACUUGUGAAUAUAAGUUCAUAACUAUUAGGUGAAAUUCCCUUAUAUUCUAGCAUCAAAUCCUUGCAUGUAAACUAAGUGUUCACCCUUAAUUGACAAACAAGAAUAAGUUUUGAAUCAAACAGUUAAGUAAAUUGCAUUCACGAUUCAUGAAAUAACAACUGGAAGUAAUCAAUUCAUAUUGCAAAUAUGUUCAUGGCUUUGAAUUUUCCCUAGCUAAAACGAGUUUAGCUCCUCAUGUUUGCAAUUAAAUAAAGACAAUUAAAUAUAAACAUUGAAACAACGGAUAGAAUACACCUAGAAACACUCCGACAAUCCAACAUCUUGAAUGGCAAGCACAGCUCCAGGGGUCUCCUCUCUUAUCUCCUUGCAAAGUUGCGGCACAAUGGGAUGAAUGUGUAUGAGGGAUGUAUGGGACGAAUUUUUUGGUGAAUGGUGGGUGGUUUCUGAUUGCUGCAGCACUUUAUAUUUAUAGGAAGAGAAGGAUGCAAGACAUAGGCUGAAAAGGAGGAGAAUUAGGACUCCAAAUCAUCAAGGAAU